AUUGAACGCUGGCGGCAUGCUUUACACAUGCAAGUCGAACGGUAACAGGUUAAGCUGACGAGUGGCGAACGGGUGAGUAAUGCAUCGGAACGUGCCCGAUCGUGGGGGAUAACGCAGCGAAAGCUGCGCUAAUACCGCAUACGAUCUGAGGAUGAAAGCGGGGGACCGUAAGGCCUCGCGCGAUCGGAGCGGCCGAUGUCAGAUUAGGUAGUUGGUGGGGUAAAGGCUCACCAAGCCAACGAUCUGUAGCUGGUCUGAGAGGACGACCAGCCAAACUGGGACUGAGACACGGCCCAGACUCCUACGGGAGGCAGCAGUGGGGAAUUUUGGGCAAUGGGCGAAAGCCUGAUCCAGCAAUGCCGCGUGCAGGAAGAAGGCCUUCGGGUUGUAAACUGCUUUUGUACGGAGCGAAAAGGUCUCCUCUAAUACAGGGGGCUCAUGACGGUACCGUAAGAAUAAGCACCGGCUAACUACGUGCCAGCAGCCGCCGCCGUAA
rnacentral:rRNA from 1 species